UCCUUUCACAGAGACUUCUUCCCAACAGUAUUUCCCGCUGGCACGCCACGUGGGAUUUAUUUUGGUAUUUGCCGUUUGUAGACUUCCUGGGAAGAGAGGUGACCCUGGAUCUACAGCUCUUAUGCAGAAUUUGUGCUGAAGCAACUUCAUGAAACAGAGUACAAAUAAGACAGGACAAUGAAAGCUACUGAAAUAUGAAGGUUUUCACUUCCAGCCCUUAUGUUCCAGCACAUCCUUCAACCUGGAAGAAAACACAAUCUAGGAUGUGGUAGUGAUCUCCUUAUUACUGACCUGCUGUCAGCAGCAAAUAGAAGUUUUUGCAGCCUUGAGA